CCUCCUCCUCCUCCUCCUCCAGGGCCACCAGAGGAAGAUGUUGUCCAGCGGGAGAAAGUCAUCAACGUUCAUACCCUCAGAAGCUUGGCUGCGACGCCGUCCUCUUCCAGAUCUGCAGCCACCUCAAAUUGAACCACGACGACAAGAAAAGCGACCCGGGACAAGGCGCAUCAAACGAACUUGAGCUCCGUCGGCAUCCUGGAGCCGAUCGCGGUCAAGCUUCGGUCGUGCAGAAGGCGCUGAAUACCCACACUCACACACUACAUUACACUCUACCACCACAAAACAACAACAUUCUUUAAUUCUUCAAUUCUAA